AACGCUAGCUACAGGCUUAACACAUGCAAGUCGAGGGGCAGCAUGGAGUUUGCUUGCAAACUCUGAUGGCGACCGGCGCACGGGUGAGUAACGCGUAUCCAACCUGCCCAUUACUCGGGCAUAGCCCAGUGAAAACUGGAUUAACUCCCGAUGCUGUUCUGAUUGGGCAUCUUAUCAGGACAAAAGUUUACGGUAAUGGAUGGGGAUGCGUCUGGUUAGGUAGUAGGCGGGGUAACGGCCCACCUAGCCGACGAUCAGUAGGGGUUCUGAGAGGAAGGUCCCCCACACUGGAACUGAGACACGGUCCAGACUCCUACGGGAGGCAGCAGUGAGGAAUAUUGGUCAAUGGGCGAGAGCCUGAACCAGCCAAGUAGCGUGCAGGAUGACGGCCCUAUGGGUUGUAAACUGCUUUUAUGCGGGAAUAAGAUCAGAUACGUGUAUCUGCGUGCAUGUACCGCAUGAAUAAGGACCGGCUAAUUCCGUGCCAGCAGCCGCGGUAAUACGGAAGGUCCGGGCGUUAUCCGGAUUUAUUGGGUUUAAAGGGAGCGUAGGCGGCCUUUUAAGCGUGCUGUGAAAUGUACCGGCUCAACCGGUGAAUUGCAGCGCGGACUGGAGGGCUUGAGCUCACGGAAGGCAGGCGGAAUUCGUGGUGUAGCGGUGAAAUGCUUAGAUAUCACGAAGAACUCCGAUUG
rnacentral:rRNA from 1 species